AGUAGGGCAAUAUCCUUAUCCUCCGGAAAGGCCAUUUCACCUCUAUCAUUGUCUCCUCUAGGUCCUAAAUUCUCUGAAAGAAUAAAAACUCCAGAAGGAUGCAAGAAUGUUAAGAACCGCAAAGAGGAUUGCUGUUCAAAUUUGGAGAAUAUAGAACAGUCACUUGACAAACAUAACCCAGACAUUAUCUUUGCUCCAGAAGAAGCUGAUUUCAGAAUAACAAGCAGAUCAUUUGAAGAUAUUGAUCUCUUCCACAAAGAGUUUUGUCUGUCUUCCCUUGAAGGUGCUACUGACAGCUGCUCUUUGUUUCAGGAAUCUGGCUCCUUCCCAGAGUGCAAGGUUCAUUAGAAGCUUGAGUAGCCUUCCUGUUCGUAGGUCCUUGGUUGGUUCAUUUGAGGAAUCGUUAUUGUCUGGACGGUUCAUUUCUGGAAAAUUGACCCAGAGAAUAGAUGGUUUCCUAGCUGUGUUAAGCAUUACAGGAGGGAACUUUUCACCGCAAUCACAGAAGCUUCCUUUUUCAGUGACUAGUGUUGAUGGAGAUUGUCAUUUGCUAUAUUAUGCAUCCAUAGAUCUUUUUGGAAAUUCAUCAAACAAGCAUAGAGGCCAAAAAUUGAGAAGAGGCUUAAGUAAUGAUGAUUCACAGACUGUCAGGAGCUGCUUUCGUAUUCCUAUGAAAGGGCGUGUACAGCUGGUCCUUAGCAAUCCAGAAAAGACCCCUCUCCACACCUUUCUUUGCAACUAUGAUUUGAGUGACAUGCCUGCUGGUACCAAAACAUUUUUGCGACAGAAGGUAACUUUAGCCUCUUCUGGAACAACUUCGCCAGAGUUGAAACCAUGGGCAUGUAGGUUUGGACACGAAAAUGAAAGACAAGGUGACCUCAGUGUCACAGAACAACCAUCCUGUAAAUACAGUUGCUUCUAUCAGCCAAAAUAUUGAAGUCAAGAAUAUUGAAUGCUAUGAUGUAGAUUCAAUCGACACACAGAAUUGUCCCAAACAAUCGAGUUGUGAGGGAAAGGCAGGUGUUGAAUCUAUUGUACUUCACAAUGACUGCCGUAGUGGUAAUCGCCCGGGGUCUAGUGGGAAGGACUGCACUGGGGUGAAUACAUGCAUUGGAAUUGACAGAAGAUCAACUCAUGGUUGUUCAAAGAUCAAUGAUAAUGCCCAUGGUGGUGCUCUGCGUUAUGCACUCCACCUACGUUUUCUUUGCCCUUCACCAAAAAUGUCUUCUAGAUCAGUUCAGAGAUGUAAAUCUGAUCCUGCAUCUGUUCCACAGAAGACACAUUUAGAUGCGGAAGGACAACGCAGGUUCUAUUUAUACAAUGACCUGAGAGUUGUGUUCCCUCAACGACAUUCAGAUGCUGAUGAGGGCAAGUUGAAUGUGGAAUAUCAUUUCCCAGAAGAUCCAAGAUAUUUCGAUAUCAGCAACUGAAUUGUCUAAUUAACCUCAAUAGAUUGCUGACACUGUACAUGCUCACCACAUGUUUCUUUUAGUCGUCUCAUCUUAAAAUAGCUCUAACCCCUCAACUUGUAAAUACAUCCAU
rnacentral:misc_RNA from 1 species